GAGGUAAAAUCAUUUGCCCCAGGUUAAUCACUGCUGAAUUUGAGACCUAACACAGUUCUGUUUUUUGACAGUGGUUUGUGUGACUUACUAGAAUUUAUUUAUAAAUCAUCCAAGUCGGCUUUUCUUAAGUUACAUGGUCUCCCCAAAUCAUGGAAUUAGGAUUUCUUUUUUCUUAGAGAGGGGUGUUUAUAAAAUACAGAUUUAGAUUUUCCAUAGAGAUCAUCAGUUCUCAAAACAGUUUGUUUAUCUCAUCAGACAGACUAUAGAAUAUUGAUAAGAAUCCAUAUUCUAAUUUUGAACCUACCACUCUGUGGUGAACUUUGCACAUACCCAUUUUCUACUCUGUAGAUGGAGUAAUCUUGCCCUUUUUACUUUCAUGGUUGCAUUGAUGAGCUGACUGUCUAAUCAGUGUCCUAGUAGUGAUGCUUGGUAGAUAGAAUGGAAGCUACUUUUUUUGACACCUUCUGCCUUCUUCCUGUCAUCCUACAGGAGCACACCAUCUGCCCUGAUCAGUCGGCUUGGCCUUCCCUGUUCUUGCUCUGAACACAGUGAAAAAAGGUCCUUCUAUCUGUUGCUUUCUUGUCUCUUUGGCAUGUUUCCACUACUUUGUUUCUGUUUAAGUUGGUCACAAUCUCUUUCCAUUUCUCCUACAAAGGAUUUAAAAAAUCUGAAUUUCAUAAUGUCCUUAGCUCAACAUUCUUUUCCGUGGGUGAAUAAUACUCCAUUAUAUGGGUAUACCAUAUUUUGUUUAUCCAUUCAUCAGUUGGUAUUUGUAUCAUUUUCUCUUUUUGGCUGUUAAGAAUAACACUGCUAUGAAUAAUUUGUGAAUGAAUUUUUUCUUUUUUUAAAAUGAUGUUUAUUUUUUCCAUGAUAACUGUUUUAUGGUGUUCUGUACAGCAAGGUGACCCAGUCACACAUACGUAUAUACAUUCUUUUUCUCACAUUGUCAUGCUCCAUCAUAAGUGACUAGAUAUAGUUCCCAGUUCCCAGAUACAGCAGGGGCUCAUUGCUUGUCCAUUCCAAAGGCGAUAAUUUGCAUCAGUUAACCCCAAAUUUCCAGUCCAUCCCACUCCCUCCCCCUCAGCAACCACAAGUCUGUUCUUCAAGUCCCUGAGUUUCUUUUCUAUGGAAAGGUUCAUUAGUGCCGUGUGUUAGAUUCCCAAUAUAAGUGAUAUCAUAUGGUAGUUGUCUUUUUCUUUCUGACUGACCUUACUUAGUAUGAGAGUCUCUAUUUCCAUCCAUGUUGCUGCACCUUCGGCAUAUGGAGAUUCCCAGGCUAGGGGUCGAAUUGGAGCUGUAGCUGCCUACCUACGCCACAGCUGCAGCAAUGCCAGAUGUAAGCCGUGUCUCUGUGGUGUGGGUUGUAGACAUGGCUUGGAUCUGGCAUUGCUGUGGCUGUGGCGUAGGUAGGCAGCUACAGUUCCGAUUUGACCCCUAGCCUGAGAACCUCUCUAUAUGGGGUGCGGCCCUAAAAGACCAAAAAAAAAAA
rnacentral:lncRNA from 9 species